rnacentral:lncRNA from 10 species
AUAAUCAGAAAAGAGGCAUGCAGUAUUCUUAAGUUUAUCUCUCCUCGUUCUUAGGGCUUCUUGGAGACAGAGUUGCAUUGAGACCUGAGCAGGAAUUUUUUACCUUCAUAAGCACAUGGGUGAUCACCUCCCUGGACCCACUGUGGACUAAGGCUAGCUGGGUCAUGGCACACCAGAGGGUGUCACUGAAGCAGGGAAGACGAGCUAAGGUCACAAGAGGCCCAUUUCAGAAUGGGUUCUGUCCCACACUCUGGAGGAAGGAAUGCUGUAUGAGGAGGCCUAGAAGAAUCUGAACAGACAGGCUUUACUGGAGUUCCCCACUCGGCCCGUUAGUAUUAGACCAGAUCUUUUUGUCCAGUCACAUUUCUACGUGGUUGCCUAUCAAAGAAGUCUCUAUAAAAAGUCCAAGAGAACAGGGUUUGGGGAGCUUCCAGGAGGCAGGAAGGUGAACAAGAAUUCAUCCACAUGCCAGACAGCUGGUGCAUCCCAAAUCCAUGGAGACAGAAGCUCCUGCACUCAGACCCUUCCAGACCUCACCCUACAUGUUUCUUCAUCUGGCUGUGUAUUUGUAUCCUUUGAAAUAUCCUUUGUAAUAAACUGUUAAACAUAAGUUCUGUGAGUCACUCUAGCAAAUUCACUAAGCCCAAGGAAGGGCUUUUGGGAACUCCAAUUUACAGCCCCUCGGGCAGAAGCCCUGGUAAAACAACCCGGGGCUUGUGAUUGGCACUGAAAUUGGGUGGGAAGCAGUCUCGGGGACUCAGCCCUCAACCUGCGGGACCUGGUGCUAUCUCCACGGAAUUGCAUUAGAGGACACCCAGCUUGGGCCUGCUGCAGAACUGAUUGCUUGCUUUGUGUGUAUGGGAAACCCCUCCCUGCCACAUUUGAUCACAGAGGUCUUCUGUGUUGAUUGUUGUGAGUGACAGAAUAGAAAAAGCACUUUCAUUGAGUUCUUGUGUUCCACUCAGACCUGCCAAGCUGAAAAUAUUUACAGUCUGGUGCUUUAUAAAAACGCGUAAUGAGUUAGAGCACCAGCUUAGAUAUGGGUUGGAGUCCUGGCUCCUUACUGCGCCAAAUGACCUUGAGUGGGUUCCCUCGCCUUUCUGUGCCUCCCUAUCCUCCAAUGUAAAGUAGGAGCAAAUCAGUGCCCUGCCUGCAAAGCACUUAGCAUGGUGCCCAGGCGUGGCAGGCACUCAAUCAAUGACAGUCAAUGCUAUUAUCUUGACCGACACGACCUUAUUUGAUCUUCCAAACUACCCAGUAAAGCAUUAUCCCCAUUAUCUCCAUUUCUCUGAUGAAGGCAGUUGGCUUAGAAUAAAUCAGAACUUGCGCAGGUUAAAAGUGAGUGACUGGCACAGCCAUGGCAAGGGGCCUUGGACUGAUUUUCUUCAUUUUCUUGCUGUCUACACCCACUGGGCAAGCAGCAGCGUGAAAGAAAAUGAAGUCCACCAACCCAAAACCA